AUGACUUCGCACCGCAUGGUGUGUUGUGGAAAGUUUUUCGGUGGGGGAUGGACUCGCGGCCUAUCAGUUUGUUGGUGAGGUAAUGGCUCACCAAGGCGAUGACGGGUAGCCGGCCUGAGAGGGCGACCGGCCACACUGGGACUGAGACACGGCCCAGACUCCUACGGGAGGCAGCAGUGGGGAAUAUUGCACAAUGGGCGAAAGCCUGAUGCAGCGACGCCGCGUGGGGGAUGACGGCCUUCGGGUUGUAAACCUCUUUCAGUAGGGAAGAAGCGAAAGUGACGGUACCUGCAGAAGAAGCGCCGGCUAACUACGUGCCAGCAGCCGCGGUAAUACGUAGGGCGCAAGCGUUGUCCGGAAUUAUUGGGCGUAAAGAGCUUGUAGGUGGCUUGUCGCGUCUGCCGUGAAAACCCG
rnacentral:rRNA from 1 species